GGGGGUGGAGCAGCUCCCAAGGGUUUGGCUGUUCGCCAAUUAAAGUGGUACGUGAGCUGGGUUCAAACCGUCGCAAGACAGGUUGGUCCCUAUCUACCGUGAUUGUUUUGAAUCUUGAAGGGAGUUAACCCUAGUACGAGAGGACCGGGUUGAACUGACCUCUGGUGUACCAGUUGUCCUGCCAAGGGCAUUGCUGGGUAGCUAAGUCAGGACGGGAUAACCGCUGAAAGCAUAUAAGCGGGAAGCCCCCCCUAAAACUAGGAUUCUUUUAGGCUGGUCGGAGAACACGACUUUGAUAGGGCGCAGGUGUAAGUUUCGCAAGGAAUUUAGCCGAGCGCUACUAACAGCCGAAUUGGCUAGUAAU
rnacentral:rRNA from 1 species